rnacentral:rRNA from 1 species
UGGGGAAUAUUGGACAAUGGGCGCAAGCCUGAUCCAGCAAUGCCGCGUGUGUGAAGAAGGCCUUCGGGUUGUAAAGCACUUUUAUCAGGAGCGAAACGCUGUCGGCUAAUACCCGGCGGAACUGACGGUACCUGAGGAAUAAGCACCGGCUAACUUCGUGCCAGCAGCCGCGGUAAUACGAAGGGUGCAAGCGUUAAUCGGAAUUACUGGGCGUAAAGCGUGCGUAGGCGGUUUCUUAAGUCUGCUGUGAAAUCCCCGGGCUCAACCUGGGAAUGGCAGUGGAUACUGGGAGGCUAGAGUGUGUCAGAGGGUGGUGGAAUUCCCGGUGUAGCGGUGAAAUGCGUAGAGAUCGGGAGGAACAUCAGUGGCGAAGGCGGCCACCUGGGACAACACUGACGCUGAGGCACGAAAGCGUGGGGAGCAAACAGGAUUAGAUACCCUGGUAGUCCACGCCCUAAACGAUGCGAACUGGAUGUUGGUCUCAACUCGGAGAUCAGUGUCGAAGCUAACGCGUUAAGUUCGCCGCCUGGGGAGUACGGUCGCAAGAUU